GCUGAAGUGAGCGCGGGAUCAGGAUGUCUUCAGCAUUCUUAUAAAUAUCCAAGAGGCAGUCUAUCAAUGUAAAUCUUUGAAGAUUAUAUUGGGGACAGUCAAAGAAAAUGUGAUCAAGAGUUUGGAUGGAUAAAUUACAGAAUUGACAAGUUGGAGAAUCUAAAACACCGAUCCUAAAUAAAUGAGCACCACUACGAGAAUGUCCCAGACGUAACCGACAAAUUGUGGUGUAAAAUUUUCUGUGGACAUUUAAGGAUAGAAGAAUGGAUGUUAAUUGUUCUAAAUCAACAUUAUUAAAUGCUCCUACAACAUCCAAAAAAACACCAGCCAAUAUCUUAUUGUCAAUCUGGGCACUAUGGAUGUCAAGACAUAAAUGCCGUAUACUCUCACAAGCAGAACGACCACAUCGAAAUCCAAAUUGAUUAUUAGAUUACUGUGUGGAGGAAUGUUGGAUGGAAUUGAAGAAGAUUCAGUUUCCGACACUACCAUGGAAAAUUUUGUGAUUGUAGGCAAGUGAUAGCUGCCCAAAGAGUCCUGAUGAACUUGCCAUUCACAGCACAGGAAUAAUGAAGAUGAUACUAUUGUUAGAUCUAGUCCAUUUGGUCUCCAAGAAUUAGUACCCACUGUAGUUGGUUGAUCAUUAUUUAAGAGCAUUAAGUCAUUAUCGUCCAUUACAUCCAUGAUGUCUCUACCUCUAGAAUUGAUUCUAUUACAACCCCAAAUGGUAUGGUGAGCAUUAAAAUCACCAGCAAUUAUUAGUGGUUUUGGAAUACUAUGCAACAGUCUAUUAAAUUUAGAUUUGUCAAAGUUAGGUACACUGUUGCCAAGACUAUAAAAGCUAACAAUUGAGAUGUCUUUUUGUUUGUACAGUAGAACUCCAAUUAUCCGAAUUAAUGGGGACCGGGACCCAUUCGGAUAAUCAAAUAUUCGGAUAAUCGGAGUUUUUUAAAAAAAAUUGCCAUUGGAGAGAAAAAAAGCUAUGUUU